rnacentral:rRNA from 1 species
CCGCCCGACUCCUACGGGCGGCAGCAGUGGGGAAUAUUGCACAAUGGGGGAAACCCUGAUGCAGCGACGCCGCGUGAGCGAAGAAGUAUUUCGGUCUGUAAAGCUCUAUCAGCAGGGAAGAAAAAAAUGACGGUACCUGAGUAAGAAGCACCGGCUAAAUACGUGCCAGCAGCCGCGGUAAUACGUAUGGUGCAAGCGUUAUCCGGAUUUACUGGGUGGAAAGGGCGUGUAGGCGGGGAAGCAAGUCAGAGGUGAAAACCACGGGCUCAACCUGUGGCCUGCAUUUGAAACUGUUUUUCUUGAGUACUGGAGAGGCAGACGGAAUUCCUAGUGUAGCGGUGAAAUGCGUAGAUAUUAGGAGGAACACCAGUGGCGAAGGCGGUCUGCUGGACAGCAACUGACGCUGAGGCGCGAAAGCGUGGGGAGCAAACAGGAUUAGAUACCCUAGUA